rnacentral:rRNA from 1 species
CCUACGGGUGGCAGCAGUGAGGAAUAUUGGUCAAUGGUCGGGAGACUGAACCAGCCAAGCCGCGUGAGGGAGGAAGGUACAGAGUAUCGUAAACCUCUUUUGUCAGGGAACAAAGACUGGGACGCGUCCCCGGAUGAGUGUACCUGCAGAAAAAGCAUCGGCUAACUCCGUGCCAGCAGCCGCGGUAAUACGGAGGAUGCGAGCGUUAUCCGGAUUUACUGGGCGUAAAGCGCGCGUAGGCUGUUGUGUAAGUUGGGAGUGAAAUCCCACGGCUCAACCGUGGAACAGACCUUGAUACUGCGCGACUUGAAUCCGGGAGAGGGUGGCGGAAUUCCAGGUGUAGGAGUGAAAUCCGUAGAUAUCUGGAGGAACAUCAGUGGCGAAGGCGGCCACCUGGACCGGUAUUGACGCUGAGGCGCGAAAGCGUGGGGAGCAAACAGGAUUAGAUACCCGGGUAGUC